rnacentral:rRNA from 1 species
GAUGAACGCUGGCGGCGUGCCUAAUACAUGCAAGUCGAGCGAACAGACGAGGAGCUUGCUCCUCUGACGUUAGCGGCGGACGGGUGAGUAACACGUGGAUAACCUACCUAUAAGACUGGGAUAACUUCGGGAAACCGGAGCUAAUACCGGAUAAUAUAUUGAACCGCAUGGUUCAAUAGUGAAAGACGGUUUUGCUGUCACUUAUAGAUGGAUCUGCGCCGCAUUAGCUAGUUGGUAAGGUAACGGCUUACCAAGGCAACGAUGCGUAGCCGACCUGAGAGGGUGAUCGACCACACUGGCACUGAGACACGGUCCAGACUCCUACGGGAGGCAGCAGUAGGGAAUCUUCCGCAAUGGGCGAAAGCCUGACGGAGCAACGCCGCGUGAGUGAUGAAGGUCUUCGGAUCGUAAAACUCUGUUAUUAGGGAAGAACAAAUGUGUAAGUAACUAUGCACGUCUUGACGGUACCUGAUCAGAAAGCCACGGCUCACUACGUG